GAUCAUUACCGAGUUAUUCAACUCAUCAACCCUGUGAACAUACCUAAACGUUGCUUCGGCGGGAACAGACGGCCCCGUGAAACGGGCCGCCCCCGCCAGAGGACCCCUAACUCUGUUUCUAUAAUGUUUCUUCUGAGUAAAACAAGCAAAUAAAUUAAAACUUUCAACAACGGAUCUCUUGGCUCUGGCAUCGAUGAAGAACGCAGCGAAAUGCGAUAAGUAAUGUGAAUUGCAGAAUUCAGUGAAUCAUCGAAUCUUUGAACGCACAUUGCGCCCGCCAGUAUUCUGGCGGGCAUGCCUGUUCGAGCGUCAUUACAACCCUCAGGCCCCCGGGCCUGGCGUUGGGGAUCGGCGGAGCCCCCCGUGGGCACACGCCGUCCCCCAAAUACAGUGGCGGUCCCGCCGCAGCUUCCAUCGCGUAGUAGCUAACACCUCGCGACUGGAGAGCGGCGCGGCCACGCCGUAAAACACCCAACUCUUCUGAAGUUGACCUCGAAUCAGGUAGGAAUACCCGCUGAACCUAAGCAUAUCA
rnacentral:misc_RNA from 1 species